CUGUUACUAUCUAUCCAUCAUUCUUUGAAGAGUUAUUUUCUUCUUCUUCUUUUCCAUCUAUCCCUCAAACCUCUUUCUCUGUAUAUAUCUUCAUUUUCUAGCUUUUCCCAAGAAAGAAAAUAUUGAUCUACCUAUAUAUAUCUUCAUUUUCUUUUCUUCUUUGCCUUUUCUUUUCUUUUCUUUUUCCCGAGAACUAACUGGUUCUUGUAUUUCAGAUGUUUUAUGUUUUUCACUAAAUUCUUUUGCUGUAUUUGAUCUACCUAUAGGUUGCAGAAGAUCAUAGUUGGUGAUUUUGGCAUUACUAUGACAUGGAAAUUUUCUAUAAAUGCAUCAUUUUGUCAUAAUCUAAUCAGAGAAAUCAGACCCACAUAGCAAAAUCUGUGGAUUCUGAACUUACAUGGCUAGUUUUCUGUUUUUUUUUUUUUUGUGUGUGUUUUCUUUUUCCCAAUUUAUUUAUGAUUUAAUAUAUUAUAAAAUAUUUAUACAAUUUUUAAUGCCAAAACAUUGGUUUGGUUUUGUUGUCUUUGGUAGCUAAUAAGUUGAAGGUUGAGUUCAACACCAAGAGGGUUGGAUUCUUCUCGGGCAUCCCCUUCACGUAAUCCUUUUGGAAUUUAACCAGUGGUAACAGGCCACGUCAGAUUGUGCUCGUGGCUUUGUUGCUACAUUGGUUGAAGAAAAAAAAAAUCUUUAAUAAUCACAAAAUAUAUGAAAAUUUAGUUUGGAAAAAUAUUAUUUUGAUCGUCUUUGAAAAUUUGAAUCCCUAUAUAUACAUGGAGGAAGGAUCUUUAUGCAUGGAUUUAUAGAUUGACAGUCGUUGUUUGCGGGCGUAGCAUCAUCAAGAUUCACAUGCAAAUGCACGGUGGUGAUCCUCUCUCUCUUUCUCUCUUCAUCCCCAUGAACCAAAGUUAUUUGAAGUGAGAAUCUUGAUGAUGCUGCAUCGGCAAUAAACGACUAUACAAAAUGAAGAAUCAAACACAAACAGUUCAGAAAGAGAAAUGGAUCUUUGAGGUUGCUGACUUAGCAGAUCUAUGAUUAUUCUCCUCCUAGGAAACUACUCUGGGAUGCAAAUCGUAUCUUUCAUUAGUUUCUUCUUGCAGAUGUGAUGGGACUUCGUCAAAUAAUUUUCUCAAGAAAAUAGAGAGAAAGUCUUUAUGAUUCUUUAUUUGGAAAGGGAAAUUUUCCAAGCUUUUGCUGUGGAGGGUUUUGGCUCAUGAGGUGGCCAGUUUUUAAAUCAACAGAGAAUAAGGCAAGAAAAAAAAUUUUUAUAUUUAAAUCAAGUCUUUAUCUGAUUUUGUUGCUACAUGGAAGCAUGUUGAUGAUCUCAGCUAGAAUAGUUUACUGCAGUUUUGGGUUCUCCAUCUCACAAAAACCUUUCUCUUCACUAUAAAAUGAUUUUUUUUUUUUUCCAAAAAAAAGGUAUAAAAUACAUUUAUGGACAUUGAAAAAAGGGGAAAAAAAGAAAAAAAGAAAAAAAAGAACUGGAAGCUCUAUAUGAGAAAACUUUGAUAUCAGCAAAAUCUGAUGGUGGGAAGUGGAAACAUGUCACAUUGUCACUGCCAUUGCUGUAUUGGCUUUAGCAUUCAAUCACCCAUCACUCUUAUUUUUGGUGGACCAAUAAUAUUUUGCUUGCAACUUGUACUCUCUCUAUCUUGCCUUCAGUCCACCUAUUUUCUAAUAAUAAUAAUAAUACCAAUUAAUUUUUAAUUUCUUUUUUCUCUGUCAAAUGAUCUUGAUGAUUUCAUGAUAGUGAUGAUUCAGUAAUUUUUCAAGUUUGUGGAAAUCUGUGUGCCUCUAUCACUAUCCAAGCCUUGGAUCACACAUAUUGUGAUCUCCAUUACAGGGUAUAUUCCCUCAAUUAAUUUCUUCCCCACCAAUUGCAAUGAUUGAUGACCAAUAAUAUACUCAUCUAUUAAUUUUGAUUGAUUGUUUGUGAGUCUUGUUAGAAUUCUUACAAAGACUUGUUCUUUCCUAAGUGAAUUUCUUGAUUGCAUGCAGUGUAUGGUUUGAGUUUUUACUAUAUUCACAUUACUUGCAGUUGCUCUUAUAGCAUACAGGACAAUAAUUGAAUAAACCUUUACCUGCAAGAAUCUAAAAGAGCCAUAUAGGACAGCUUCUGAUCUUCAAUCAAAAUUCAGUAGUAGAUUUUUUUUUUCUCUCAAAGAUAUAUCUCAUUGAGCAUGCCUUAAAUCCUCCAACAAGGAGAUAACAAGAUUGAUUUGAGUCAGAGGAUUACAAUAGAAGAAAUCAUCUAAUAAACAUCUUUUAGGUAGAGUAUGGGCUAAAGACUCUUCUUCCCUUUUGACAUACCUAAAAAAAAUUUGGGAAGGUUGAUUUAGCCUGCUUUUAGGUGGAUGUGGUUUUGCUGAGUUUUUCUUAGUUAAUCAAUAAUUUCUUCCUAUUUCUGUUCAUUUUUUAACUUCAAUUCACAAAUCUUAAGAAGCAUAGUCUGCAACUCCAUUUUCUUUAAAGCUGUCUUCCCCAUCUCAAUUAAUAGGCUUCACCAAAUGGUUUGUUCUUUUUUAUUCAAAAAUUUUCCUAUAAUUUUAUUUGUUUUUUUUUCUUCAAAUUAAUUAAGUCCAGUUUUCAAGUAGGCACUGAGUCUCUUCUACUGCUUUUUCUUUGAAUCACAAUGGAGAAAAUUGAGAAAAAUAAAACAUACACCCCACUGCCAACUUCCCAGUUUUGCAGCAGCUCUAUUUGAUUUUUGUUUAUGCUAACUUUAGUACCAACAUAAUUUAUCUAUUUAUUAUUAUUAUUCUUUGACAGUAGAGUUUCAGCUGGUCAAAUACAAUAUCAUCAGAGGAGCACAGCACACAGGCGAUUGAGAAUCUAUAAAAGUUUUGGAAGGAACAUUAAGAAUAUUAGAAAAAAUAAAUUCAAGGGUUUGAAUCUGACAAUUAUUUUAGCUGGUUUGGAAUUGAGGUUAAUGAUAAUAGUUUUUGCUGAAUCUCCCUUUUGCAGAGAGAUGAAGAAAUUCAGUCAUGGGUAGAAGAAAUCAAAGCAUGGAAACUAAUAAAGAGGAAAGACAGUGCAGAAUUUUUGGGAAGUGUAAAGCAAUGGAUAUUUGAUCUUUUGGAGGAUAGUUUGAUUGAGAUUUUAACAAUGAAGAGUGGAAUGGGGAGGAGGAGAGAAGCGACGUGGAAGAAAAACUGGCCUUAAAAAGAUGUGACUAACUGGAGAAGAGGAUGGAUGAUUGAAAGGAACUGAUAAUGGAAAAAAGAAUC